GAGAAUGCUUUCACUUUCUUAAGUUUAGGUAAAGCUAGUGGUUGAUUUGAACUAAAUAGAAUUCACUCAGUACUUUAGAACGCGUGCUACAGUGAAGAAUGGCUUCAGAUCGGGUCUUUAUUACUAUCAUCUAAAUGGACAACCACAUACUGCAUGAUUGUAAGACAUCAUAUUUAUUUCUGCUCAGUUGUUGAAGGAUACAAUUUUUAAAAACAAAAUAAGGAAACAAACUUUGAGAAUCAGAAUUGGAGAAUCAUAUUAUCCACGUCAACUCAGCAGUGAAAUGAUUAGUAAUUGAUUGCGUGUUCUGCACAUUGUCCCUGCAAAAACCUGACCCAAAGGAUUCAAUCUACAGUUAGAAGUGUUUUGUAAAAAGGUUCUGUCCAACAGGGAUUGUGGAGAUUA
rnacentral:lncRNA from 1 species